rnacentral:sRNA from 2 species
GUCUAAACCCGACAGCAGUGGAAAUCCUUUUUGCUGCAGAUGCUUUGUACCUCGGUGCGAAAAAGUAGCAAAAAGAUUGUAGCGAAUGGCGGGAACAGAC